rnacentral:lncRNA from 1 species
CUCACUUCCUGUUUCCUGUGGAACCCUGGACAGAGACCCGAAGUGAUGAAGAUCACUGGUGUGUUAGUUGUGCUCCUCAUGGUUUUUGGAUCCAGUCAUGGUUUAGAGGAUGUGAUUGUAACCUGCAGUGAGCAGUGGCUGUGGGUGAGAGUGAAGUGGCGGGUUCUUGGGAAUCACCCGGAGCCCCAGCUGUCCGAACUGUAUCUAGGAACUCGCUGCAGGGUGACUGAAAAGUCCAUGGGCUACUAUGAGUAUUUUUAUCCUCUCUCUCAAUGUGGAAUCAAAACUGAAGUACGCUCAUGGGGUAUUCUCAUUGAAAGUUCAAUCAAUUAUGAACCAGAAAAUUCAGAUUUCUGGGGUUUCUUACCAAUAUCAUGCUAUAUUCGAAGAUCGUUUACAUUAAAGUAUGUGAAAAAGGAGGUGGCCCAUAGUAGUGGUGAGUCCAAAAAGUCAGCGAGAAAGAAGAGCACAACUUCACAUGAGGCAAAGAGCUCGGUGAGCCAGCCAGAACGGACGGUGAGCAAUAUUGCCCGACCACAUCCAUUUUCUCCCUCCCGAUUAAGUAUGGAAAUUUACCUGUGAAUUCUGGACGGAGAGGCAGCCACGCUAACCCCAGAACUGUGGCUCCUGAGGACCUGCCUGUUGGAGAAUGGAUAAAUGUCCCAUUUUAAAAUUUUCAUUUUAAAUUUUCUCUGCAGUCAGUAUUUAUGAACAUUUUGGGGUGUGUGUGUGUGUGUGUGUGUGUGUGUGUGUGGAGAGCUUCUUCAGAAUUUAAACGUAAUGAAGAUUCCAUUUUCUCCCUCCCGAUUAAGUAUGGAAAUUUACCUGUGAAUUCUGGACGGAGAGGCAGCCACGCUAACCCCAGAACUGUGGCUCCUGAGGACCUGCCUGUUGGAGAAUGGAUAAAUGUCCCAUUUUAAAAUUUUCAUUUUAAAUUUUCUCUGCAGUCAGUAUUUAUGAACAUUUUGGGGUGUGUGUGUGUGUGUGUGUGUGUGUGUUUGUGGAGAGCUUCUUCAGAAUUUAAACUUGUAAUGAAGAAUAUUUUAAAAUAAAG